UGGGGAAUAUUGCACAAUGGGCGAAAGCCUGAUGCAGCGACGCCGCGUGAGGGAUGACGGCCUUCGGGUUGUAAACCUCUUUCAGCAGGGAAGAAACCACAAGUGACGGUACCUGCAGAAGAAGCGCCGGCUAACUACGUGCCAGCAGCCGCGGUAAUACGUAGGGCGCAAGCGUUGUCCGGAAUUAUUGGGCGUAAAGAGCUCGUAGGCGGUUUGUCGCGUCUGCUGUGAAAGCCCGGGGCUUAACCCCGGGUGUGCAGUGGGUACGGGCAGACUAGAGUGCAGUAGGGGAGACUGGAAUUCCUGGUGUAGCGGUGGAAUGCGCAGAUAUCAGGAGGAACACCGAUGGCGAAGGCAGGUCUCUGGGCUGUUACUGACGCUGAGGAGCGAAAGCAUGGGGAGCGAACA
rnacentral:rRNA from 1 species